rnacentral:rRNA from 1 species
CCAAUAGCGUAUAUUAAAGUUGUUGCAGUUAAAAAGCUCGUAGUUGAACCUCGGGGUCUACCCAUUGGUCAGGCUUAAUUGUCUGCACUGGUGAGAUGGAUCUCUACCUUCUGAGGAACUUUCAUGCCAUUUAUUUGGUGUGAUGGGAAAUCAGGACUGUUACUUUGAAAAAAUUAGAGUGUUUAAAGCAGACUAUCGUCUGAAUACAUUAGCAUGGAAUAAUGAAAUAGGACGGACUGAUUCUAUUUCGUUGGUUUCUAGGAUCACCGUAAUGAUUAAUAGGGAUAGUUGGGGGCAUUAGUAUUCAAUUGUCAGAGGUGAAAUUCUUGGAUUUAUUGAAGACUAACUACUGCGAAAGCAUUUGCCAAGGAUGUUUUCAUUAAUCAAGAACGAAAGUUAGGGGAUCGAAGACGAUCAGAUACCGUCGUAGUCUUAACCAUAAACUAUGCCGACUAGGGAUCGGAUGAUGUUAUUUUUGAUGACUCAUUCGGCGCCUUACG